rnacentral:rRNA from 1 species
GACGAACCGUCCUAACGUUGUUCGGAAUCACUGGGCUUAAAGGGCGCGUAGGCGGGCGAGCAAGUCUAGGGUGAAAUCUUUCGGCUUAACCGGAAAAUAGCCUUGGAUACUGCUGGUCUCGAGGGAGGUAGGGGUCGUUGGAACUUCCGGUGGAGCGGUGAAAUGCGUUGAUAUCGGAAGGAACGCCGGUGGCGAAGCGAACGACUGGACCUUUCUGACGCUGAGGCGCGAAAAGCCAGGGGAGCAAACGGG